UAUAAAGUCUACCUGCCCACUGAAUUAUUAAAUGGCCGCAGUAUUUUAACUGUGCAAAGGUAGCAUAAUCAUUAGUCUUUUAAUUGGAGGCUGGUAUGAAUGGUUGGACGAAAUAUUAACUGUUUCAUAUAAAUUUAUAAUAGAAUUUUAUUUUUUAGUUAAAAAGCUAAAAUUUAUUUAAAAGACGAGAAGACCCUAUAAAUCUUUAUAUUUAUUUUUAUUUUAAUUUAUAAGAUUAUUUUUAUUAUAAUAAAAAUAAAUAUUUUAUUGGGGUGAUAUUAAAAUUUAAUAAACUUUUAAUUUAUUAAAACAUAAAUGUAUGAAUUAUUGAUCCAUUAAUAAUGAUUAAAAAUUUAAGUUACUUUAGGGAUAACAGCGUAAUUUUUUUGGAGAGUUCAUAUCGAUAAAAAAGAUUGCGACCUCGAUGUUGGAUUAAGAUAUAAUUUUGGGUGUAGCCGUUCAAAUUUUAAGUCUGUUCGACUUUUAAAUUCUUACAUGAUCUGAGUUCAAACCGGUGUAAGCCAGGUUGGUUUCUAUCUUUAAUUAUUAAUAAUAUUUUAGUACGAAAGGAUUAAAUAUUAAAAUAAUAUAUUUUUAUUUAUGAAUAUUAAUAAUAU
rnacentral:rRNA from 1 species